AGGAUCCACAUCUAUCGCAACAGCUACUUGGUCAUUAUUAGUUUUGCGCAAACUGCGAACUUGAGAUGCAACAGUUCCAGGCAUUACCCUUUUGUUGGCCUGCAUUUGAAGAGCAGAAGAAAAUAGUGCCAAUAAGUGUACCGAUAAAAAAAAAUAAUGCCAAGAAGUAUAGCUGGAAGAACAUGAUGCUUAGCCACAUUAUACUGAAGAUAUUAUUAGAGAUGAAAUACAAAGACCUUUCAGGGCUAAUCUAUAGCAUGCUAUAUCAUUUUCCAAUUCAGACUGGUUUUCUAUACUAAGAACACUCUUACUACAGGUCCAUAGUUUGGAGAUAUUAAAUUAGUAUUCAACAUUAAACUUUUGAAACUACAUUUCAACUUCCUUUUGCUGUUAAUAUUGAUAGAAAUCCUGUAAAAAUCAGCGAUUAAACUCAAGGUCACUGUCACACAUAAUAAUCCAUAUUAGCCAAGCACUACUAGAUAAUCAUUACUACCACUACCGUCAUCCAAGAAUGUGUACUCAUUCGUUCUGAAAUCAAAACUCAAAAAAGUUUUCGUAUGUAUAUAAUGAAGCCAUCCUUAAAAAGAGAGAGGCUUGAGCAUGUGAAAGGCGGAUAAUAGAAUAUGUGCUCAGAUGUUGCCCAAAUCCAGUUUAAACCCAGAGUACACCAUACAGAUUCUAACCGAUGAUGUGUUAGACCAUCCGCAUCAAUGGAUAAGAGGAAAAGCAGAGAGUCAGAAACCAAGCGUCUUUGUUGUGUAUCAAACCAAACCCGAACAAAACAUAACAAACAACACCCCU
rnacentral:lncRNA from 1 species